rnacentral:misc_RNA from 1 species
GAUGAAGAACGCAGCGAAAUGCGAUAAGUAAUGUGAAUUGCAGAAUUCAGUGAAUCAUCGAGUCUUUGAACGCACAUUGCGCCCCCUGGUAUUCCGGGGGGCAUGCCUGUCCGAGCGUCAUUGCUGCCCUCAAGCACGGCUUGUGUGUUGGGCCUCCGUCCUCCUCCCGGGGGACGGGCCCGAAAGGCAGCGGCGGCACCGCGUCCGGUCCUCGAGCGUAUGGGGCUUCGUCACCCGCUCUUGUAGGCCCGGCCGGCGCUUGCCCACACAUCAAUCUUUUUUCCAGGUUGACCUCAGAUCAGGUAGGGAUACCCGCUGAACUUAAGCAUAUCAUAAGCGGAGGA